AGCAGCCGCGGUAAUUCCAGCUCCAAUAGCGUAUAUUAAAGUUGUUGCAGUUAAAAAGCUCGUAGUUGAAUUUCGGGGUCAGUAGGCUGGUCGUGCCCCCGGUACGUACUGGUCUCACUGAUUCCUCCUUCCUGAAGAACCGUAAUGCCAUUAAUUUGGUGUUGCGGGGAAACAGGACUGUUACUUUGAAAAAAUUAGAGUGUUUAAAGCAGGCUAACGCUUGAAUACAUUAGCAUGGAAUAAUGAAAUAGGACGAUCGAUCCUAUUUUGUUGGUUUCUAGGAUUGACGUAAUGAUUAAUAGGGAUAGUUGGGGGCAUUAGUAUUCAAUUGUCAGAGGUGAAAUUCUUGGAUUUAUUGAAGACUAACUACUGCGAAAGCAUUUGCCAAGGAUGUUUUCAUUAAUCAAGAACGAAAGUUAGGGGAUCGAAGACGAUCAGAUACCGUCGUAGUCUUAACCAUAAACUAUGCCGACUAGGGAUCGGGUGAUGUUAAUUUUAUAAUGACUCAUUCGGCGCCUUA
rnacentral:rRNA from 1 species